UAUCAUUUUAAUUUUAUAGAUUAAUCUACCAGACAAUGUCACUAGGAGAUACAGUCAUUCUCUCUCAGUGUGGAGUGUGACCCCAACUACUAACUGGAUAAUUGAGUUUGGAGGAGGAUCAGCAAGCUACAGUACUGAUACAGCAGUUAUUGAACUCAGAUAUACUAGUGAUAAUGAUUGGUCUACUGUUGUAAUACCUCUGGACCAGUAUCAAGAUCAACUAAGAAGAAGGAUACUGAGUGAUUGGGAGAAUUUAGGAUUAGGCAAAGAGGUUCAAUUACUCAGAGGGCACCUACAAAAAA